AUCCAGUUGACGAAUCCCAACUAGGAUGAAACGCGCAUCCUGGAU
rfam:Schistosoma mattheei strain Denwood, Zambia genome assembly, scaffold: SMTD_scaffold0001692